rnacentral:lncRNA from 1 species
AGAGAGUUGGAUGAGACAUUAUUCGACCAGGCAUUUCAGUAUCCAAUUCAUGAAGCAUCAAUACUUCCACUUCCGAGGAUGGUGUCACUCCUAAGGGAAUGUUGCAGUCUUGUUACACAAGAUAUCAAGUGGUGCCAAUGUAGUUUAGUUUGGAUCAUCUAGGCUGUAUAAAGUGCCAAAUCGAGCUUACAGUUGUUUAGAGUGUUGGGUUUUGAUCUAAAUCUGGCUCAUUAAGGCUGUAACUUUGGAUAUAUUCUUGAUCAUAUAUACCAGAUCCACCAUAAUAUCAUUAAUUUGGUGAGAAGACAUUGAGCUUCUAGACUUCUCUGUUCAGGUCCAAGUUAGUGAAACCCAUGCAUGUACUUCUCUUUUGACGCAUGCUACGAGAGAACUAGCGAGUCGGGCCAUACGGAUAUGUAUUUAAUCCCACAUCAGCUAUGUGCUAAGUAAAUAUUGGAUACUUAUAACAGAUCUAGGAACUCAAAUAAUAUCUUAUGGUUGACGAUUUUGGGUGAGAUUCUAGAUCGUUUAUAUAGUAUCAGAGCGGAUUUGGGUCAUAGUUUAUGUGGACUAGAGAAUACUAUGUUGACAGAUCGUAGGCUGAUCAUGGUACUUAUGAUUGAAUUUGAACUCUUAUCUUAGUAAGGAUACCAUGGCUUAAACUGAAGAAGUAUGUGAGGAUAAUACAUGCAUAGAUUUAGUACUAUAUCGGCUAUAUACUGAAUAGAUUUUGCAUACUUAUAUAGGAUUAAAAAAAACUCAAAUAACACCUUUCAGUUAGUCUUUUUGGAUGAUGACUUAGAUGAUGACUUCAACAACAUUUUUUCCCCUCUAUUGCAAAAGGUAGUGGUUUGAACACCGGUUCCAUCAAUUAUAAAGAAUCAAUAUAAAGAAUUACUACAUAAUUAAAAAUCCUUAUAAACUGCACACAAAACAAUUGCCACAAAAAAGAUAAAACAAACAAUUACUAGAUAAUAUAAAAGUUCAUCAUAAUGUCACAACCAACCAACCAACUUUCAAUCGGUUGGAUAUUGCACUCAUAGAUAUAGCUACAAAUGGUUAAUUUCUACUCUUCUGAUCCUCCUGUCGGUGUCCUGCAGCAUCUCCAGCGUUGCAGGCAUUCUCGAGGCUGCACAAACCAUUGGGAUGGACUUUCUUUCUUAAUCCGAAGAAACCUUUGCUGGGCUUCUUCUCUUCGGACUUCUUUCCUCCCAUCUCUUCUUCCGUUCUCUUCAUCUUCUCCUUGUGGAGCUUCCUCAUGACAUAGGCUUCGGCAAAGUCUCCUCCCAUCAAGGAUGCCAUGACUUGGAUGAGGAGAAAGCCAACUACUCUCUUCUUUGUUCUUCUCCUCUCUCUUCCUCUUCUUCGCCUCUUUCGGAGCUUGGUGGCGUGGAGUUUCCGGCCGCUGCAUGGAGACGGAUUUAUAGAGCUUGGGAAUGGCUUGGCGGCCAAGGCAGUGGGUGGUGGACCGGGGGGGG